rnacentral:rRNA from 1 species
UACGUAAGGGGCAAGCGUUGUCCGGAAUCACUGGGCGUAAAGCGCACGUAGGCGGUUUGUCAAGUUGGGGGUGUAAGCUCUAGGCUUAACCUAGAAAUUGCCUCCAAAACUAGCAUACUUGAGUAUUAGAGGGGAAGCUGGAAUUCACGGUGUAGCGGUGAAAUGCGUAGAUAUCGUGGAGAACACCCGUGGCGAAGGCGGGCUUCUGGCUAAUUACUGACGCUGAGGUGCGAAAGCUAGGGGAGCGAACAGG